CAGUCGCACUGUUCUCCUUUUUCCAGGAAGCCGUUCCCGCAGACGGAGGGGGGCAGCAGGUCGCUGAAGUCCGGUUUGUCCAGCAGGCAUUCGGGGUUGCGGCCCAGCAGCUUGUGAUUACAGACCCACCACUCAUGUUUGCUUCAUAUUGCUGCACACCAACUGGCUGGACCGCAGAGUGUCUCGUAGGAGCAGCAGCCCAGCACCUCACCUGAAUCACUCCAACAGAGUGACCCGAGCAGAGAGUCCCGAUGUACGCCAGUCCCACGGUGGCUCCUUCAAAGUCAAUACCGCUGAAAGACGAGCAAUGAAAUCAAUCGCCACGUCCACAUUAACUGGCAUCAUGUGGAUUCUUCAGUGCUGAUAAAAAGCUCAGAGUUCCUCCACAUCAUGAAAGCGUUCAGGUUGGCCCCGGCCGGGGGGGUCACGGUGAACAAGUCCCGUUCGGACCAGAUUUCCAGCCCCACCAAAGCGAUGAAGGUCCUCAGUGGCUUGUACGCCUGCAAGCAAGCAGGUGUUCACAGUUACCUUUAUUCAAAUGAGGAGACAUGGUCACCCUCCAAAUGCAAUAACAAUAGACAUUUCCUAUAUCUAUUAUCUACAUGGAGACUGAAUGUCGUCAUAAUAAAUACCCGUAUAUUCCUGCUGA